rnacentral:rRNA from 1 species
GAUGAACGCUGGCGGCGUGCCUAAUACAUGCAAGUCGAGCGAACAGACGAGGAGCUUGCUCCUCUGACGUUAGCGGCGGACGGGUGAGUAACACGUGGAUAACCUACCUAUAAGACUGGGAUAACUUCGGGAAACCGGAGCUAAUACCGGAUAAUAUCUUGAACCGCAUGGUUCAAUAGUGAAAGACGGUUUUGCUGUCACUUAUAGAUGGAUCCGCGCCGCAUUAGCUAGUUGGUACGGUAACGGCUUACCAAGGCGACGAUGCGUAGCCGACCUGAGAGGGUGAUCGGCCACACUGGAACUGAGACACGGUCCAGACGCCUAAGAGAGGCAGCAGUAGGGAAUCGUCCGCAAUGGGCGAAAGCCUGACGGAGCAACGCCGCGUGAGUGAUGAAGGUCUUCGGAUCGUAAAACUCUGUUAUUAGGGAAGAACAAAUGUGGAAGUAACUAUGCACGUCUUGACGGUACCUAAUCAGAAAGCCACGGCUAACUACGUG